rnacentral:rRNA from 1 species
CGUGUAGGCGGUAAUGUAAGUCAGACGUGAAAUCCUUUGGCUCAACUGAAGAACUGCGUCUGAAACUGCAUGACUAGAGUGCAGAAGAGGGAAACGGAAUUCCUGGUGUAGAGGUGAAAUUCGUAGAUAUCAGGAGGAACACCGGUGGCGAAGGCGGUUUCCUGGUCUGACACUGACGCUGAGGCGCGAAAGCGUGGGAGCAAACAGGAUUAGAUACCCUGGUAGUCCACGCCGUAAACGGUGGGUACUGGGUGUGGGAGGUGUAAUGCCUUCUGUGCCGAAGCUAACGCGUUAAGUACCCCGCCUGGGGAGUACGGCCGCAAGGUUGAA